GAUCACUCCAAGUUAGACUGGUUAUCACUCAACUGUCAGAAGGAUAUUAAAUUAUGAUUAAAUAGUUAACUCCCGAUUAUCUAUCCGCAGAAAAACAGUGACAUAAAGACAAUACGGAAACAAGUAUGAUGUGACACGAGUAUGCCCACUUAUCUGGGUAAAGAGAGCGCAGAUCUACUGAUCGCAUAAUCGCAGGAUCAGGUGAGGCUUAUGUUCUCUGUGAGGAUUUGAUAAAAGACAUUGUGUCUGAAAUCAUUCGUCCACCAGUGCACCUCUGAUUCAUGUGGGGAAGUUGGCAGUUACUUGCAGAGGGCAGAUUCUGUGUAUGUGAAUCAGUCAUUCUCCAGCUUCCCUAGAAAACAGUGUGUUCAUAUGAUCUAUGUUAACAGCCGAGAUCUACGUUAAUAGCCGAAAAAUGACGAAAUAACAUACGGCAACACAGAACUGCAUGGAAACUGCCGAUUUCAUUUCGGGUCCAAUACCUUCAAGGAGGAACAAACAGCCUUUUGUAAAUCUCUACAGGGCAAAGUUAUAAACAUAUCCUCAAUGCAGCUAACAACCUUUAAAAUCAUACAACUUGUGACAUGUUUCUUCAUAAUGUUACGCAUGACAAUAUUUGCAUGGCAGAAAAAAAAGCUUUUAGCACACAGCCAGGAUUCCAUUAAGUGACUUAGCACCAAGAAAAGACCAGUUGUUUGCUUGCAAUGUCCAUUAUUGUAAAACAAACACAAGUAUUGAUGAUGUAUGGAUUAAAAGAUACAAUGUCAGUCUAUAUCGUGACGACCCAGGACAAAGCUUUCGGCGAGAUGUUUACACUUGUUGCUAUAGUUUUCUUGUAGUUUUGAAAAAAUAAACAAACAGUCUGAGUAAGCAAGAGUUGUCUGGUUUUCUGUGAUAUUUUCAUCUCCAAGCUUACCUAACUUCACUUCUAAUUCAAUUAAACUCGAAAAAAUUGGGGUACUCCCAUUAAUUACAUAAAUUCAUACUGCUUAACCCUUAGCCUGCUAAAUUUCUAAAAUGGACUGGUCUUUCAUUCAAUUUGGGCAAUACCAUUUAUUAUUCAAAGGGGUGUUCACUGAAAAUUUACUGACUGAAUAGCGAACAGUGCAGACCAUGAUCAGACUGCACGGAUGUGCAGGCUGAUCUUGGUCUGCACUGGUCGCAAAGGCAGAAUCACUUGCCGCCAGCAGG